rnacentral:rRNA from 1 species
CAGGUUGACCUCGGAUCAGGU